rnacentral:tRNA from 1 species
AUGGUGGUAGCUUAACGGAUAAAGCGCCCUUUUGACUAAGGGGAAGAUGGGGGUUCGAUUCCCUCGCACCCCU